rnacentral:rRNA from 1 species
AAUGAACGCUGGCGGCAUGCCUAACACAUGCAAGUCGAACGAGGCCUUCGGGCUUAGUGGCGCACGGGUGCGUAACGCGUGGGAAUCUGCCCUUGGGUUCGGAAUAACAGUUAGAAAUGACUGCUAAUACCGGAUGAUGUCUUCGGACCAAAGAUUUAUCGCCCAAGGAUGAGCCCGCGUAGGAUUAGCUUGUUGGUGAGGUAAAGGCUCACCAAGGCGACGAUCCUUAGCUGGUCUGAGAGGAUGAUCAGCCACACUGGGACUGAGACACGGCCCAGACUCCUACGGGAGGCAGCAGUGGGGAAUAUUGGACAAUGGGCGAAAGCCUGAUCCAGCAAUGCCGCGUGAGUGAUGAAGGCCUUAGGGUUGUAAAGCUCUUUUACCCGGGAUGAUAAUGACAGUACCGGGAGAAUAAGCCCCGGCUAACUCCGUGCCAGCCGCCGCCGUAAGAC